AACGAACGCUGGCGGCAUGCCUAACACAUGCAAGUCGAACGAAGCCUUCGGGCUUAGUGGCGCACGGGUGCGUAACGCGUGGGAACCUGCCCCUUGGUUCGGAAUAACAGUUAGAAAUGACUGCUAAUACCGGAUGAUGACGAAAGUCCAAAGAUUUAUCGCCGAGGGAUGGGGCCCCGCGUUAGGGAUUAGCUAGUUGGUGAGGUAAUGGCUCACCAAGGCGACGAUCCUUAGCUGGUCUGAGAGGAUGAUCAGCCACACUGGGACUGAGACACGGCCCAGACUCCUACGGGAGGCAGCAGUGGGGAAUAUUGGACAAUGGGCGAAAGCCUGAUCCAGCAAUGCCGCGUGAGUGAUGAAGGCCUUAGGGUUGUAAAGCUCUUUUACCAGGGAUGAUAAUGACAGUACCUGGAGAAUAAGCUCCGGCUAAACUCCGUGCCAGCAGCCGCGGUAA
rnacentral:rRNA from 1 species